rnacentral:tRNA from 1 species
GGAUUUAGCUCAGUGGUAGAGCGCUUGCCUAGCAAGCAUAAGGCCCUGGGUUCCGUCCCCAGCUCCA